rnacentral:rRNA from 1 species
GCACGGAGUUAGCCGGUGCUUCUUCUGCGAGUAACGUCACAGUUGCUGGGUAUUAGCCAACAACCUUUCCUCCUCGCUGAAAGUGCUUUACAACCCGAAGGCCUUCAUCACUCACGCGGCAUGGCUGGACCAGGCUUGCGCCCAUUGUCCAAUAUUCCCCA